UACGUAGGGCGCAAGCGUUGUCCGGAAUUAUUGGGCGUAAAGAGCUCGUAGGCGGCUUGUCACGUCGGGUGUGAAAGCCCGGGGCUUAACCCCGGGUCUGCAUUCGAUACGGGCUAGCUAGAGUGUGGUAGGGGAGAUCGGAAUUCCUGGUGUAGCGGUGAGAUGCGCAGAUAUCAGGAGGAACACCGGUGGCGAAGGCGGAUCUCUGGGCCAUUACUGACGCUGAGGAGCGAAAGCGUGGGGAGCGAACAGG
rnacentral:rRNA from 1 species